CCACGAAAAAAAUGGUACUCUGUUGGAGC
rnacentral:sRNA from 1 species